UACGGGGGGGGCAAGCGUUGUUCGGAAUUACUGGGCGUAAAGCGUGCGUAGGCGGCUGCGCAAGUCGGUUGUGAAACCCCGAGGCUCAACCCCGGAACUGCAUCCGAUACUGCGUGGCUAGAGGUAGGUAGGGGAGAUCGGAAUUCCUGGUGUAGCGGUGAAAUGCGCAGAUAUCAGGAGGAACACCGGUGGCGAAGGCGGGACUCUGGGCCGAUACUGACGCUGAGGAGCGAAAGCGUGGGGAGCAAACAGG
rnacentral:rRNA from 1 species